rnacentral:rRNA from 1 species
GAUAGAACGGCAGCGCGGGGCAACCUGGCGGCGAGUGGCGAACGGGUGAGUAAUACAUCGGAACGUGCCCUGUGAUGGGGGAUAACUACGCGAAAGCGUAGCUAAUACCGCAUACGACCCAAGGGUGAAAGUGGGGGAUCGCAAGACCUCACGUCAUAGGAGCGGCCGAUGGCGGAUUAGCUAGUUGGUGAGGUAAAGGCUUACCAAGGCGACGAUCCGUAGCUGGUCUGAGAGGACGACCAGCCACACUGGGACUGAGACACGGCCCAGACUCCUACGGGAGGCAGCAGUGGGGAAUCUUGGACAAUGGGGGCAACCCUGAUCCAGCAAUGCCGCGUGUGGGAUGAAGGCCUUCGGGUUGUAAACCACUUUUGGCGGGGGCGAAAUAUCGAGUGCUAAUACCAUUCGGUGAUGACGGUACCCGCAGAAUAAGCACCGGCUAACUACGUGCCAGCAGCCGGGGGUAAUACA